rnacentral:misc_RNA from 1 species
UUUCCGUAGGUGAACCUGCGGAAGGAUCAUUAAAGAGAAUAUGCCCUUCGGGGUAGAUCUCCCACCCUUUGUUUAUAUUACCUUUGUUGCUUUGGCAGGCCCGUCUUCGGACCACCGGCUUCGGCUGGUCAGUGCUUGCCAGAGGACCCAAAACUCUUAUUAUUAAUGUCGUCUGAGUACUAUAUAAUAGUUAAAACUUUCAACAACGGAUCUCUUGGUUCUA